rnacentral:rRNA from 1 species
AGAUUGAACGCUGGCGGCAGGCCUAACACAUGCAAGUCGAGCGGUAGAGAGGUGCUUGCACCUCUUGAGAGCGGCGGACGGGUGAGUAAAGCCUAGGAAUCUGCCUGGUAGUGGGGGAUAACGCUCGGAAACGGACGCUAAUACCGCACACGUCCUACGGGAGAAAGCAGGGGACCUUCGGGCCUUGCGCUAUCAGAUGAGCCUAGGUCGGAUUAGCUAGUUGGUGAGGUAAUGGCUCACCAAGGCGACGAUCCGUAACUGGUCUGAGAGGAUGAUCAGUCACACUAGGAACUGACGACACGGUCCAGACUACCGUACGGGAGCAGCGAGGUAGGGGAAUAGUUGGACAAGUGGGACGAAAGCUGAUCCA